CACCUGGAGUUGCCAUUCUCUUCUCCACUCCUCAGCUCAGGAUUGGAAAACAUGAAUAGGCUCUGGUAGUACCAGCCUUGUCAUCCUUGUCAUUCUGCAUAAGGGACUGGGACAGAGCAGCUCCGUCUGGGCAGAGGAACCCAUUCAGACCGGUGGUUUUCAACCCAGGCUAGAUAUCAGGACUCCAUAGAGAAGUUUAUAUGUCAUCAUCUUGGAAAUUGAAAUGGUUCACCUUGUCUUUCUGGAGCUGUUCUAUGUGGAUAUGUCCCAUGGUAAUCAGACCAACGUCCUCAACCUGUGUUUUAAAACCACUCUUGGAAGAUGCUGAAUACAUCUUAAGUAACAAUGAGUCUAAACAAUAACAACAUCCUCUGCAUAAGACUUAAAGAAAAUUAUUCUCAUUAUGAUCAUUGUUUUGAUCCUUAGGAAAGGUAAAGGGAUUUAUAGUACAGUAGCUGAAGAAAUAGGAUCCUUCAAUUAUUCCAUAACUCACAACAGUAUUCAUAAGAUUUGUGGGUAAAGGGGAUCCCUGGGAGGCUCAGCGGUUUAGCGCCUGCCUUUGGCCCGGGGCGUG